CAGCCGCCGCGGUAAUACGUAGGUGGCAAGCGUUGUCCGGAAUUAUUGGGCGUAAAGGGCUCGCAGGCGGUUUCUUAAGUCUGAUGUGAAAGCCCCCGGCUCAACCGGGGAGGGUCAUUGGAAACUGGGAAACUUGAGUGCAGAAGAGGAGAGUGGAAUUCCACGUAUAGCGGUGAAAUGCGUAGAGGUGUGGAGGAACACCAGUGGCGAAGGCGACUCUCUGGUCUGUAACUGACGCUGAGGAGCGAAAGCGUGGGGAGCGAACAGGAUUAGAUACCCCAGUAGUCCCUGUCUCUUAUAC
rnacentral:rRNA from 1 species